AGAGUUUGAUCAUGGCUCAGGAUGAACGCUGGCGGCGUGCUUAACACAUGCAAGUCGAACGGACUCAUAUUGAAACCUAGUGAUGUAUGAGUUAGUGGCGGACGGGUGAGUAACGCGUGGAGAACCUGCCGUAUACUGGGGGAUAACACUUAGAAAUAGGUGCUAAUACCGCAUAAGCGCACAGCUUCGCAUGAAGCAGUGUGAAAAACUCCGGUGGUAUACGAUGGAUCCGCGUCUGAUUAGCUUGUUGGCGGGGUAAAGGCCCACCAAGGCGACGAUCAGUAGCCGGCCUGAGAGGGUGAACGGCCACAUUGGGACUGAGACACGGCCCAAACUCCUACGGGAGGCAGCAGUGGGGAAUAUUGCACAAUGGGGGAAACCCUGAUGCAGCGACGCCGCGUGAGUGAAGAAGUAUUUCGGUACGUAAAGCUCUAUCAGCAGGGAAGAAAAUGACGGUACCUGACUAAGAAGCCCCGGCUAACUACGUGCCAGCAGCCGCGGUAAUACGUANGGGGCAAGCGUUAUCCGGAUUUACUGGGUGUAAAGGGAGCGU
rnacentral:rRNA from 1 species